rnacentral:rRNA from 1 species
CAGCAGCCACGGGAAUACAGAGGGUGCGAGCGUUAAUCGGAUUUACUGGGCGUAAAGCGUGCGUAGGCGGCUAAUUGAGUCGGAUGUGAAAUCCCCGAGCUUAACUUGGGAAUUGCAUUCGAUACUGGUUAGCUAGAGUGUGGGAGAGGAUGGUAGAAUUCCAGGUGUAGCGGUGAAAUGCGUAGAGAUCUGGAGGAAUACCGAUGGCGAAGGCAGCCAUCUGGCCUAACACUGACGCUGAGGUACGAAAGCAUGGGGAGCAAACAGGAUUAGAGACCCCAGUAGUCCCUGUCUCUUAUAC